CACGUAGGAGGCAAACGUUAUCCGGAUUUACUGGGCGUAAAGCGCGUGUAGGCGGUUCUGUAAGUAGGGCGUGAAAGCUCCCGGCUCAACUGGGAGAGGUCGUUCUAAACUGCCGAGCUAGAGGAUGGUAGAGGGAGGUGGAAUUCCGGGUGUAGCGGUGGAAUGCGCAGAUAUCCGGAGGAACACCAGUGGCGAAGGCAGCCUCCUGGGCCAUUCCUGACGCUCAGACGCGAAAGCUAGGGUAGCAAACGGG
rnacentral:rRNA from 1 species